rnacentral:rRNA from 1 species
AUGAAGCUAAAUGCAAAUGGAGCAUGGUGGGUGAUCACCGGAUAUUUCAAAGAACACAACCACGACCUCAUAAAGAAGUUUGACCUAGUAAAAUCUCUAAGCACCCACAGAGGAUUUAGUCCCAUUGAGAAGAAAUUCAUAAGGUUGCUACAUGAUUGUAACAUCGGUCCACCAAGAAUGGUCCAAAUACUGUCCCUGAUCCAUAGCGGAGAUGGUAGUCUGAGUAGCAUGCCCUACAUAUCAGCAGACAUCACAAACCUAAAGGCAAAGUGCCAUAGAGAGAGCAGGUUGGCUGACAUAGAAGACACAAUAGCCUACUUCGAAGAGAAAGCAAAAGUAGAUUAUGAUUUCUUCUACAGGAUAAGAUUGGACGAUGAGGACAGUGUCAGAAACAUGUGUUGGGUGGAUGGUGCUGCAAGAAGAGCCUACAAACAUUUCCAUGAUUGCAUUUUGUUCGACGCGACAUAUCUCAUGAAUAUGUACAAGAUGCCAUGUGCUUCAUUCAUAGGAAUAAAUAGCCACAAUACAGAUGGUUACACUUGGCUAUUCAAAACCUUCUUGGAGUGCAUGGAUGGACUUGCUCCGAUGAACAUAAUAAUAGACCAGGAUUUUAGCAUGCGUGCAGGCAUAGAGGAGGUCUUUCCGUUGGCAGUGCAUAGGCACUGCAGGUGGCAUAUUAUUAAGAAGGCUGAAGAGACGCUAGGACCAUUCUUUGAUACUACACAAUGUAGCGAGGGGUUCAAUGUUGUUUUGAAGCGUUACGACGGGAUUGUGUGCUGCCACAUACUCAAUGUAAUGGACAUGCACGCGGUCACACAAUUGGCCCGCCAUUUCAUAUGACGGUGGUGGACUUGGGACACUGACGAUGCAUUGGGGCCACAAACAUCAACUGCAGUUUUGGUUGUACAUGAUGACAGACCAGAGGCAACCAUGGACUCUGUGAGGCACGUUGUAUUGACCAAGAACUAUGCUGAACUAAUAGAUUAAGCAUGCAAGAGUAAUGAGAUAGCUAGGGUGGCAGAAAAGCACAGGAAGGCCCUGAAAAGAGAGCUUGAUGAGAUCAAGAAGAGGAAGGCAGAAGAAGCCUUACACGGGUUCCCCCGCACUUCAAGUGUGUCUUCGUCCACGGGUCCAUCCUCUGAAAACUCGGAGGUAGGGUACGGAAAAGCAAGCACACGGACUCAGGUCAGGAACCCGCCCCGUUCCGUCACAAAAGGGCGUCCAAAAGAGAUACGAUACAAAUCGGGGUUGGAAAUUCAAGCAAAUCACAAGAAAGCAAAGAAAGGGGCGGGCAAUCCAUAA